GAAAUGCGAUAAGUAAUGUGAAUUGCAGAAUUCAGUGAAUCAUCGAAUCUUUGAACGCACAUUGCGCCCGCCAGUAUUCUGGCGGGCAUGCCUGUCCGAGCGUCAUUUCAACCAUCAAGCCACCGGGCUUGUGUUGGGGACCUGCGGCUGCCCGCAGGCCCUGAAAACCAGUGGCGGGCUCGCUGUCACACCGAGCGUAGUAGCAAUCACCUCGCUCAGGGCGUGCUGCGGGUUCCGGCCGUUAAACAGCCUUACAAAACCCAAGGUUGACCUCGGAUCAGGUAGGAAGACCCGCUGAACUUAAGC
rnacentral:misc_RNA from 1 species